AUUGAACGCUGGCGGCAGGCCUAACACAUGCAAGUCGAACGGUAACAGGAAGAAGCUUGCUUCUUUGCUGACGCGUGGCGGACGGGUGAGUAAUGUCUGGGAAACUGCCUGAUGGAGGGGGAUAACUACUGGAAACGGUAGCUAAUACCGCAUAACGUCGCAAGACCAAAGAGGGGGACCUUCGGGCCUCUUGCCAUCGGCUGUGCCCAGAUGGGAUUAGCUAGUAGGUAGGGUAACGGCUCACCUAGGCGACGAUCCCUAGCUGGUCUGAGAGGAUGACCAGCCACACUGGAACUGAGACACGGUCCAGACUCCUACGGGAGGCAGCAGUGGGGAAUAUUGCACAAUGGGCGCAAGCCUGAUGCAGCCAUGCCGCGUGUAUGAAGAAGGCCUUCGGGUUGUAAAGUACUUUCAGCGGGGAGGAAGGGAGUAAAGUUAAUACCCUUGCUCAUUGACGUUACCCGCAGAAGAAGCACCGGCUAACUCCGUG
rnacentral:rRNA from 1 species